ACACGACUCUCGGCAACGGAUAUCUCGGCUCUCGCAUCGAUGAAGAACGUAGCGAAAUGCGAUACCUGGUGUGAAUUGCAGAAUCCCGCGAACCAUCGAGUCUUUGAACGCAAGUUGCGCCYGAGGCCAUUCGGUUGAGGGCACGCCUGCCUGGGCGUCACGC
rnacentral:rRNA from 1 species